UACGGAGGGUGCAAGCGUUAAUCGGAAUUACUGGGCGUAAAGCGCAUGUAGGCGGUCUCGGUAAGUACCUUGUGAAAUCCCGUUCUCUCAAUGAAGGAACCGCUUGGUAUACUGCCGGGCUGGAGGCAGUAGGGGUCGACUGGAACUCUAGGUGGAGCGGUGAAAUGCGUAGAUAUCUAGAGGAACGCCCGUGGCGAAAGCGGGUGACUGGGCCUGUCCUGACGCUGAGAUGCGAAAGCGUGGGGUAGCAAACGGGAUUAGAAACCCCUGUAGU
rnacentral:rRNA from 1 species